rnacentral:rRNA from 1 species
UACGGAGGGCGCGAGCGUUAAUCGGAAUUACUGGGCGUAAAGCGCGCGUAGGCUGUUGUGUAAGUUGGGGGUGAAAUCCCACGGCUCAACCGUGGAACAGCCCUUGAUACUGCGCGACUUGAAUCCGGGAGAGGGUGGCGGAAUUCCAGGUGUAGGAGUGAAAUCCGUAGAUAUCUGGAGGAACAUCAGUGGCGAAGGCGGCCACCUGGACCGGUAUUGACGCUGAGGCGCGAAAGCGUGGGAGCAAACAGG